GCCCAGCUAGCUCAGUCGGUAGAGCACGAGACUCUUAAUCUCAGGGUUGUGGGUUCAAGCCCCACAUUGGGCG
rnacentral:tRNA from 1 species